rnacentral:lncRNA from 1 species
UACAAGACUGUGCAAGUAGUCUGUUUCUGCCUUUAGUAUUCUAGGAUACAGCAGCUUUUGGUUUCAUCUGUACAAAGUUUUGUCUUCUGUGUUAAGUGGAAGGGCUGCUUCAUCUUAUUUUAAGCCCAGUUGGGUCUUGGCCAUGUAGCACGGAUGCAGUUGGUGGAUCACAGUGGUAUGAGGAGUAUUGCUGUUGUUGGUUAUCCAUAUGAGUGGUAAAUAUUGGCGUCUCCAGAGAAAAUCAUAUCGAGAC